GAUGAACGCUGGCGGCGUGCCUAAUACAUGCAAGUCGAGCGAACAGAUGAGGAGCUUGCUCCUCUGACGUUAGCGGCGGACGGGUGAGUAACACGUGGAUAACCUACCUAUAAGACUGGGAUAACUUCGGGAAACCGGAGCUAAUACCGGAUAAUAUAUUGAACCGCAUGGUUCAAUAGUGAAAGACGGUUUUGCUGUCACUUAUAGAUGGAUCCGCGCCGCAUUAGCUAGUUGGUAAGGUAACGGCUUACCAAGGCAACGAUGCGUAACCGACCUGAGAGCGUGAUCCGACACCCGGUCACUGAGGCUCGUCCCAGACUCUUACGGGGGGCCGCAGUAGGGACUCUUCCGCAAUGCGGGAAAGCCUGACGUAGCAACGUCGCGUGAGUGAUGAAGGUCUUCUGAUGGGAAAACUCUGUUAUUAGUGAAGAACAAAUGUUUAAGUAACUAUGCACGUAUUGACGGUACCGAAUCAGAAAGCCCCGGCUAACUACGUG
rnacentral:rRNA from 1 species